ensembl:snoRNA
ACUUUCCAGUUUCCUUUCCCAUCAGAUCUAAACAUUAAUCCCAGUGGUUACAAAAGGAGGAAAAGUAACACUGAAACUGACUUCCAUGCUUUUGUAGCAGGUGGGUUAGUUUUAAACAAAA